rnacentral:rRNA from 1 species
CCUACGGGCGGCAGCAGUGAGGAAUAUUGGUCAAUGGACGAGAGUCUGAACCAGCCAAGUAGCGUGAAGGAUGACUGCCCUAUGGGUUGUAAACUUCUUUUAUAUGGGAAUAAAAUGUUCCACGUGUGGGAUUUUGUAUGUACCAUAUGAAUAAGGAUCGGCUAACUCCGUGCCAGCAGCCGCGGUAAUACGGAGGAUCCGAGCGUUAUCCGGAUUUAUUGGGUUUAAAGGGAGCGUAGGUGGAUUGUUAAGUCAGUUGUGAAAGUUUGCGGCGCAACCGUAAAAUUGCAGUUGAAACUGGCAGUCUUGAGUACAGUAGAGGUAGGCGGAAUUCGUGGUGUAGCGGUGAAAUGCUUAGAUAUCACGAAGAACUCCGAUUGCGAAGGCAGUUCACUGGACUGCAACUGACACUGAGGCUCGAAAGUGUGGGUAUCAAACAGGAUUAGAUACCCGAGUAGUC